rnacentral:tRNA from 1 species
UAAAAGAUAAGCUAAACAAGCUAAUGGGUUCAUACCCCGUUUAUAAAGGUAUACUCCUUUUCUUUUUA